UACGUAGGGUGCAAGCGUUGUCCGGAAUUAUUGGGCGUAAAGGGCUCGUAGGCGGUCCAUCGCGUCGGGAGUGAAAAGCUGGGGCUUAACCCCAGUCCUGCUUCCGAUACGGGUGGACUAGAGGUAGGUAGGGGAGAACGGAAUUCCUGGUGUAGCGGUGAAAUGCGCAGAUAUCAGGAGGAACACCGAUUGCGAAGGCAGCUCGCUGGGACGUCACUGACGCUGAGACGCGAAAGCGUGGGGAGCAAACAGG
rnacentral:rRNA from 1 species